rnacentral:rRNA from 1 species
UGGGGAAUUUUGGACAAUGGGCGCAAGCCUGAUCCAGCCAUGCCGCGUGGGUGAAGAAGGCCCUAGGGUUGUAAACCCCUUUCAGCGGGGAAGAUAAUGACGGUACCCGCAGAAGAAGCCCCGGCUAACUCCGUGCCAGCAGCCGCGGUAAUACGGAGGGGGCUAGCGUUGUUCGGAAUUACUGGGCGUAAAGCGCGCGUAGGCGGAUUUGCAAGUCGGGGGUGAAAGCCCGAGGCUCAACCUCGGAACUGCCUUCGAUACUGCAAAUCUCGAGUCCGAGAGAGGUGAGUGGAAUUCCUAGUGUAGAGGUGAAAUUCGUAGAUAUUAGGAAGAACACCAGUGGCGAAGGCGGCUCACUGGCUCGGUACUGACGCUGAGGCGCGAAAGCGUGGGGAGCAA